rnacentral:tRNA from 1 species
GUUAGGAUGGCAGAGUCCGGUAAUUGCAAAAGACCUAAGCCCUUUCCAUCAGAGGUUCAACUCCUCUUCCUAAC